UACGAGGGGGGCAAAUGUUGUUCGGAAUCACUGGGCGUAAAGGGAGCGUAGGCGGGUUCUUAAGUAAGGUGUUUAAUCCCGGGGCCCAACCCCGGACCGGCACUUUAAACUGGGAAUCUUGAAUAGUGGAGAGGUCGGUGGAAUUGGGGGUGUAGCGGUGGAAUGCGUAGAGAUCCCCAAGAACACCAGUUGCGAAGGCGGCCGACUGGACACAUAUUGACGCUGAGGCUCGAAAGCAUGAGGAGCAAACAGG
rnacentral:rRNA from 1 species